GGCUCAGUUGGGACCCCAACAACUCAAGUACAUGACUGUCCUCAAAGACUCUUCUGAUUGUUUAGACUUGUUCAGUCCCUUUGAAAUUGCAGCUGAGGAUUGAGAAGAGAGGUUCUUGGCCUGUGAAGCUGACCUCACAUGGUUCUUGGCAUGCUGCACAACUGACCUUACUGUGUAGUUCCAUCUGCAGAUACCUUGGUCUUUCAGUGCCUCCACAGCUCCAAUACUAGCUGCAACAAUCCAUGCUCUGCUACUUGAACUCAUCCUUGCAGAUACUGUAAUCUUGAUUCUUGAAAUAGAAAUAGAAGUUUGUUUAAGAGAAAUACUGUGUGAUUUUGUUGGUAGGUAAGUGAAGGGGGCUGCUUAUAUUGAUAAGAUGGGGGAAUAAUGAUGGAUUAGAAAGCCAAAAAUUAGAAGGAAACUACGGGCAAUUUGCCGGUGGUUUUCGACAGUGGUUUUUAGUUUUCUUUCCAUGGCAAGGUAGGUCCGACGCAUUUGGUAUAGUAUGACUUAAAUACCCAUCUAAAAUCACUUGAUGACAGGAAAUAAAGGAGGGCAAUAAAUGAAAUUUAGGACAGCAUUCAAUCGUGACAUUAUUAAAAAUGGGCUUGUUUAUUAAUAAGUUUCAACUUGGAGACCUGAAAUAUGUGACUACAAAAAGUCUAAACCACCUGUUUUCUCCCCUGGGAUUGGGAAUUGGAAAACAGACUGCAGUUUUUUUUUUUUUUCAUUUUAUGAAUAAAAAAUCAUCCUCCUAGGGAAGAAGGUCCAAGUGAUGAUCCUAUUAUCUAUGGAAGUUUUUGGAAGAGCAUUUAGAGUAUUGAAUUGAUCCAGUGGUAUGUACUGAUGCGAAUUAGAGAUUGAGACAUUUGAAUAUUUUAUGUUUGCCCACGCAGAAGGUGUUUGGAAAGUUGUAACGUUAAGUUACUGUCCAAGAAAAGAGGGUUUAGAGGAUUCCCGCAUUGGUGGUUGGAGAUUUUGAAUUGGCUCGGGAAAAAUGGGUUGUGGUCUGAAGUUGGUUUGAUUGCUAAUACUUGUUGGUCCCUUUGGAAGGCACGGAAUGAGUUGAUGUUUGACAACCGUGCUUGCGAUUCGAUUGCGACUUGGAACAGAGCUUUGCUCGACAACCCUUGCGUUUCUGAAGGAAGCGAUCAAAUGAAACCGGUUCAUAACGUGAGUGAAAAUCAAAGAUGGUGAAAACCAACAUUUGGAACUGUUAAAAUUAACUGUGAUGCGUUGAUGGAUUCGGGUUCUCCAAUGACUGGUGUAAAGCCCAAAAUUUGCUCGGGCCCAACACACUCAAAACAGUCCAAUUACAAAAAAACAAGCUCAGAUUCCACUACCCAAAUUACAAUGCCCAAAUAAACCAAAACCUUAAAGCCUAAAUGGCCCAAAAUCUAAAACAAUUUCAGCCAAUCAAAAAGAAAGGCAGAAACCCUAGGUGCGCCGCACCUAGGUCCACACGCGCGAUGCCUUCACACGCCUCCACGUCCAUUGCUCCGUACAUGCAAGAAGGACAAACAACCUGCAACGAACACACGGCAGCAAAAAGAAAUGACAGAAAAGGGGCAACAGAGGGGAUUUGGGAGAUUUUCUUUUUAUUUUAUUUUCUUUUUAUUUUUUUCUGUAAUUCUGGCCAUAAAAGGCCAUUCGAAUAUUGUAAACAAAAGGGAGGAGGCAUAUUGUAUACAAAAAAAAUAUUCAGAGGAAUCGGAAAAAAAAAAAGGAUUUGAAAAGGUGAUUUGUAGUUGCUUUUGUUCUGGGUUUUUCUUUUGCCUUUCUCGGUUUCCUUUCAUUUCUGUCUUUUUCUAUAUAUGCAAAACAACAAAAAAAGGAGAUAAAAAAGGGGCUUAGGGAUCUUACCGGGGGUCGGUACGUCGCCAAAUCCCUCCAUCGUUUAGGUCGAGGUUGAAUGAGAGGGGAGGGACCUUCGAUUUUGAAGCGGCGCAGAGAGGAGAGCGUUCGGAUUCCUUUUAUUUUAUUUUUGUUUUUUAUUUCCGUUUUGAAAAAUGAAAUGGUGGCUGCCAAUUUAGGGUUUGGCUUUUGACCUUUGCCUGUUGUAUGAAACGACGCCGUUUGGAGUCUGACAGUGGCUCCAAAACAGCGUCGCAUCGAUCCAGAUCCAUUCGCGACCCGACCCGCUCCAUGGGGGAUCCGCGUGUUUUGAUUAAUGGGUUAUUUACAACCCUGGUCCCUUCGCUUUUCAAGCGCGCUUCAAUCUAGUUCUUUUAUUUCUUUUUAAAUUUAAUCUCUUAUUUCAUUUUUGUUUCAUUUUAACCCAGCUUGCAACGCUGCGUUUUGGGGAAGCGGGAUAUUUCCCAAUCGGCCUCCAUGUAAUUCGCGCAUUGCAGUAUGGCCUUCCAUUUUAGCUUAAUCUUAUUUAUUUCCUGAUAAUUCGAUUUUGAUUGCGAUUUAACUCUUUUCAUUAUUCAAUUUUUUUAUUAACAAAUUUACUGUUAUUAUUAUUAUUAUUAGUAUUAUCCUACGUAUAUUUAUCAUUAUUAUAUUUAUUAUCAUUUUUAUAUAUCCGCUUUUCGUAUAUAUGCAUUAUUUUAUUUUACAUGCAUCUUUUUAAGGUUUCUUUCAAAAUUUUUUAUAUAUAUUUACCCUUUGUUAUGACAUACUAUUAUUAAUAUUUCUUAAGUUUAUUUUAUUUUAAGUGUGCUUUUUAUAAAUUCACUCAUUAUAUAUCUUAGAUUUAUAUAAAUAUACACUUUCAAGUAAUACUAUUAUGUGAUAAUACUACAUAUGUAUACUUAUUCUAUGUCGAAUUAUUUUCAUCAUAUAUAUGCAUACAUACAUACGUACAUAAUCCAUUGUUAAUUUCACAUUAUCGUAUAGAUAUUUUAUUUCUCUCAAACAUUUUAACAACCUAUUUUAAACAUUGUUAAUUCAUUCAAAUUUGUUUCAACUUUUUAAUUUAUUUAAAUUAGGUUUAAGCUUAUAUAUUUCAUUUGAGCUAUGUGAAUUUGCUUGACUUUUAAUUAGUCUCCUCUUGUUAGCCAAUGUUGAUAUUUAUGUGAUGUAUAUUUGAAAUUAUUAUUGUUAUGCUUGUUCGUAUUUGUUCAUUGGUUGCUUAUUGUUCAUUGAUGUGCAUUUUAUCUUUGAAUUAUCCUUUUCGCGUUUUAUGAAAACAUUUAACCAUAUUACAUUGUUUAAGAGAUUGUAUUUUACUAAAAUAUCGAAAUAGUUUUAAGUUUCGAAAAUACCCUACGUCCAAUGAUUCUCGAGAAAAUUUUGCCUUAACUUACUGGGCUUCGAUUUUCUUCGUUGAAUUUAAGUGGCCAAUGUCUUUAAAAUAAAACCGUAAUUUUUAAAUAAAUUUUCUCGGGAUUUCAAAAUGUUGGUCCCUAACUCACUAGAUCUGACAACUUUACUACCUCGAAUUAAGGAUUUUUAAGAUAAAUGUAAUAUUUGGUGUUUAGGAAUCUCGGAAAAUUAAACCCUAACUUACUGGGUUUUAACUUACCGUUUAACUCAAAUAACCAGAUAUCCUUCUCAAAUUAAAACAUGCGAGUUUUAAAAAUUUAAAAGAUAUACCUAAUUUCGAAUAUUGAACUGUCGUACUCUAACUUACUGAGUGUGGCAAUUUAUCUUCUCGAAAUAAGUGAGUCUAUCAUCCAAUUCAUUUUAUUCGAAUUUUCUUUUUAAAGGAUCGUAUUUUAAAAUCUUUUCAAAAUUUCGACAUUAAGACAUUAAACAAUCAAUUCGGUACCAAUUUUGGGCGUCACGAGGGUGCUAACCCUUCCUCGUGCAUAACCGACUCCCGAACCUGUUUUCUCAAAAUUCGCAGACCUAAAAUUAUUUUCAAGAUGAUCCGAUCAUACCUCAAUAAAAGAUUGGUGACGACCCCCAUUUUCAUUUUUAAAAGUCGAUUUCCCUUUUUAAAAAAAUUUAUUUUUCAAAAAAAUAGUUUCGACAACUGUUAUUGCAGUAAUUGCACGAGAUUGUAAUGAAAAAUUCUUGACGGAAUCAACGCACUUGUUCGGACUACAUCUGUAUGAGUGGCUGAGGCCUUGGCCUUAAGGCUUGGUUCGAUUCUUGAAAACAGAUGGCAAUGGCAAUCUAUUAUCUUUGAAUCUAACAACAAGGAGCUGAUUUACUCUGUGAAGAAUAAAGUCGGUUAAAUUUUGAUAUAUCAGGAAAGCGUAAAAAAAAAGAGUUGAAAAUUUGAAGAAAAAACAACAGAACUGAAACAGGGACAUCGAUUUCAGGAGAAAAUAGCACAAAAAAUGAAAAACAAGCAAUUCUCAAAAUUCUUUUCAUUAGUUAUAUGAAGACAGAGAACUCAUUUCUUACAUCCAUUUGUAAGUUAUAUACAUUAUGCAAGCAAAGAACCCAGCCAUGCCCCCAGUCCUCAAACCUUGUUUUGAUUGACCAAAGCUUGCACUCAGGAGUCAAUGAUUCACCCAAAUUAAGAAUGUUCCUUGUAAAUUGUCAUCGAUUUUGACAGAUUUAUGGCUCAGUUGGGACCCCAACAGCUCAAGUACAUGACAGUCCUCAAAGACUCUUCUGAUUGUUUAUACUUGUUCAGUCCCUUUGAAAUUGCAGCUGAGGAUUGAGAGGAGAGGUUCUUGGCCUGUGAAGCUGACCUCACAUGGUUCUUGGCAUGCUGCACAACUGACCUUACUGUGUAGUUCCAUCUGCAAAUACCUUGAUCUUUCAGAGCCUCCACAGCUC
rnacentral:lncRNA from 1 species